GGUCAAGGAUGGACUCGCGGCCUAUCAGGUAGUUGGUGAGGUAACGGCUCACCAAGCCGACGACGGGUAGCCGGCCUGAGAGGGUGACCGGCCACACUGGGACUGAGACACGGCCCAGACUCCUACGGGAGGCAGCAGUGGGGAAUAUUGCACAAUGGGCGCAAGCCUGAUGCAGCAACGCCGCGUGAGGGACGACGGCCUUCGGGUUGUAAACCUCUUUUAGUAGGGAAGAAGCGAAAGUGACGGUACCUGCAGAAAAAGCACCGGCUAACUACGUGCCAGCAGCCGCGGUAAUACGUAGGGUGCAAGCGUUGUCCGGAAUUAUUGGGCGUAAAGAGCUCGUAGGCGGUUUGUCGCGUCUGCUGUGAAAACCCGAGGCUCAACCUCGGGCCUGCAGUGGGUACGGGCAGACUAGAGUGCGGUAGGGGAGAUUGGAAUUCCUGGUGUAGCGGUGGAAUGCGCAGAUAUCAGGAGGAACACCGAUGGCGAAGGCAGAUCUCUGGGCCGUAACUGACGCUGAGGAGCGAAAGCGUGGGGAGCGAACAGGAUUAGAUACCCUGGUAGUCCACGCCGUAAACGUUGGGAACUAGAUGUGGGGACCAUUCCACGGUCUCCGUGUCGCAGCUAACGC
rnacentral:rRNA from 1 species